rnacentral:rRNA from 1 species
AGUGAACGCUGGCGGUAGGCCUAACACAUGCAAGUCGAACGGCAGCACAGUAAGAGCUUGCUCUUACGGGUGGCGAGUGGCGGACGGGUGAGGAAUACAUCGGAAUCUACUUUUUCGUGGGGGAUAACGUAGGGAAACUUACGCUAAUACCGCAUACGACCUACGGGUGAAAGCAGGGGAUCUUCGGACCUUGCGCGAUUGAAUGAGCCGAUGUCGGAUUAGCUAGUUGGCGGGGUAAAGGCCCACCAAGGCGACGAUCCGUAGCUGGUCUGAGAGGAUGAUCAGCCACACUGGAACUGAGACACGGUCCAGACUCCUACGGGAGGCAGCAGUGGGGAAUAUUGGACAAUGGGCGCAAGCCUGAUCCAGCCAUACCGAGUGGGUGAAGAAGGCCUUCGGGUUGUAAAGCCCUUUUGUUGGGAAAGAAAGGCAGCAGGUUAAUACCCCGCUGUUCUGACGGUACCCAAAGAAUAAGCACCGGCUAACUUCGUG